GACGAACGCUGGCGGCGUGCUUAACACAUGCAAGUCGAACGGAAAGGCCCUGCUUUUGUGGGGUGCUCGAGUGGCGAACGGGUGAGUAACACGUGAGUAACCUGCCCUUGACUUUGGGAUAACUUCAGGAAACUGGGGCUAAUACCGGAUAGGAGCUCCUGCUGCAUGGUGGGGGUUGGAAAGUUUCGGCGGUUGGGGAUGGACUCGCGGCUUAUCAGCUUGUUGGUGGGGUAGUGGCUUACCAAGGCUUUGACGGGUAGCCGGCCUGAGAGGGUGACCGGCGACAUGGGGACUGAGAUACGGCCCAGUCUCCUACGGGAGGCAGCAGUGGGGAAUAUUGCACAAUGGGCGGAAGCCUGAUGCAGCAACGCCGCGUGCGGGAUGACGGCCUUCGGGUUGUAAACCGCUUUCGCCUGUGACGAAGCGUGAGUGACGGUAAUGGGUAAAGAAGCACCGGCUAACUACGUG
rnacentral:rRNA from 1 species